rnacentral:lncRNA from 1 species
AUGAGGAUGGUGAUGGCGAUGGCGACUGAAAGGUUCACGAGGGGCUCACAGAUGACACAACGAUUCGUCGAUCGAUUGCAAAGUGGUGGCUGUCUCGGGGGUUCGACUUGAGCGAAGCCACGCAGGUGCGAAGAAGCAGCGGGGCUGCGUUCUUGCUUCUCCGUCGAUAGGGUGCGAAGGAAAAAAGGGCAUCUUCGGGGUUGACGAAGCCGAAGGAAAAGAAAGAGGGGAAGCAGCGAGGAUUUAGGUCCGACGAUUUCUCCCUGGCUCGUGCGUCUUGUAGCCGACAGAAGUCAAGGAGGUUACAUCUCCGGAGCUUGGUUCAUCGGAGAGGCGAGAUGUCCGAAAGAAGGUAGAAAAGGGCGAAAGCAUCGUGCUUAGUCAGCGAGGAAAAAGAGAGCAACCGACGCCGACAGGUCUUCAUCUCUGAUUUGGGUCGAUCUCUUCGCUUGAUCAGAAAGGAAAGACGAAGGCAUCAACUAUCAAUAACAGGUAAGGGUUUCUACUUUUUUUUUUAUUGUUCUUGACAAAAUUGAUUUAAUGAACUGGGAUGUUUGAUAGGGAAAAUGAACUAGAUUCAGAUUUUUUUUUAUUGUUUCAUUUGGCAGAAAUUUUGAAGAAGAGAAAGAAAAUUUUUUCCUUUUGUGUUCAUGUAUCUUGGUGAAUACGAAGAAGUAGGCAGGAACCAGAAAUAUAUAGGUGUUUGCGUGUUAGAAUUUUUAACAUUGUACAUGUUUUGUUUGAGUGAUUAGUAGGUGGAGUGCUGUAAGGGAAAGAAAACAUAAACGUGUGUUCUUGUUGCUUGACAG